GACGUAGGGCGCGAGCGUUGUCCGGAAUUACUGGGCGUAAAGGGCUCGUAGGUGGCCAACUAAGUCGGACGUGAAAUCCCUCGGCUUAACCGGGGAACUGCGUCUGAUACUGGAUGGCUUGAGUUCGGGAGAGGGAUGCGGAAUUCCAGGUGUAGCGGUGAAAUGCGUAGAUAUCUGGAGGAACACCGGUGGCGAAGGCGGCAUCCUGGACCGACACUGACGCUGAGGAGCGAAAGCCAGGGGAGCAAACGGG
rnacentral:rRNA from 1 species